rnacentral:rRNA from 1 species
AUUGAACGCUGGCGGCAGGCCUAACACAUGCAAGUCGAACGGUAACAGGAAGAAGCUUGCUUCUUUGCUGACGAGUGGCGGACGGGUGAGUAAUGUCUGGGAAACUGCCUGAUGGGGGGGGGGAAAACGGGGAAAGGUUGACGAUAACGCCGUACCGGCCAAAGCCAAAAAAGGGGGGCUUCUGGGCCCCUUGCACUCGGGAUUGCCAGGUUGGAUUAGCUAGUAGGUGGGGUAACGGCGCACCUAGGCGACGAUCCCUAGCUGGUCUGAGAGGAUGAUCAGCCACACUGGAACUGAGACACGGUCCAGACUCCUACGGGAGGCAGCAGUGGGGAAUAUUGCACAAUGGGCGCAAGCCUGAUGCAGCCAUGCCGCGUGUAUGAAGAAGGCCUUCGGGUUGUAAAGUACUUUCAGCGGGGAGGAAGGGAGUAAAGUUAAUACCUUGGCUCAUUGACGUUACCCGCAGAAGAAGCACCGGCUAACUCCGUG